AGAGUUUGAUCCUGGCUCAGGACGAACGCUGGCGGCGUGCUUAACACAUGCAAGUCGAGCGAUGAGAUCACUUCGGUGAAGGAUUAGCGGCGAACGGGUGAGGAACACGUGAAGAAUCUGCCUUCAACUCUGGGAUGACUCCGGGAAACCGGGGCUAAUACCGGAUAUGAGCCUUGAUCGCAUGAUCGGGGCUGGAAAGUUUUUCGGUUGAAGAUGACUUCGCGGCCUAUCAGCUUGUUGGUGAGGUAAUGGCUCACCAAGGCGACGACGGGUAGCCGGCCCGAGAGGGCGACCGGCCACACUGGGACUGAGACACGGCCCAGACUCCUACGGGAGGCAGCAGUGGGGAAUAUUGGGCAAUGGAGGAAACUCUGACCCAGCGACGCCGCGUGCGGGAUGAAGGCCUUCGGGUUGUAAACCGCUUUCAGCAGGGAAUAAGCGCAAGUGAAGGUACCUGCAGAAGAAGCACCGGCUAACUAUGUGCCAGCAGCCGCGGUAAUACAUAGGGUGCAAGCGUUGUCCGGAAUUAUUGGGCGUAAAGAGCUCGUAGGUGGUUUGUUACGUCGGUUGUGAAAUUCAGGGGCUCAACCCCUGACUUGCAGCCGAUACGGGCAAGCUAGAGUUUGGUAGGGGAGACUGGAAUUCCUGGUGUAGCGGUGGAAUGCGCAGAUAUCAGGAGGAACACCGAUGGCGAAGGCAGGUCUCUGGGCCAAUACUGACACUGAGGAGCGAAAGCGUGGGGAGCGAACAGGANNAGAUACCCUGGUAGUCCACGCCGUNNNCNNNNNNCGCUAGUUGUGCGAACCUUCCACGGUUUGUGCGACGC
rnacentral:rRNA from 1 species